CAUCCAGACUCCUACGGGAGGCAGCAGUGGGGAAUAUUGCACAAUGGGGGAAACCCUGAUGCAGCGACGCCGCGUGAGCGAUGAAGUAUUUCGGUAUGUAAAGCUCUAUCAGCAGGGAAGAAAAUGACGGUACCUGACUAAGAAGCCCCGGCUAACUACGUGCCAGCAGCCGCGGUAAUACGUAGGGGGCAAGCGUUAUCCGGAUUUACUGGGUGUAAAGGGAGCGUAGACGGCGGUGCAAGCCAGAUGUGAAAGUCCGGGGCUCAACCCCGGGACUGCAUUUGGAACUGUGCUGCUAGAGUGUCGGAGAGGCAGGCGGAAUUCCUAGUGUAGCGGUGAAAUGCGUAGAUAUUAGGAGGAACACCAGUGGCGAAGGCGGCCUGCUGGACGAUGACUGACGUUGAGGCUCGAAAGCGUGGGGAGCAAACAGGAUUAGAUACCCCUGUA
rnacentral:rRNA from 1 species